GCGAAAACCGGCGUGAGAAACGCCGGCAGUGACAACCAACAGCCAUGAAUCGCCGGGCAGGUACGGCGCAGGCGACGCACAGCGUCUGAAGAAAACCUGAGGCAGCGGUGAAAAAUUUCAAAACCUGCAACUGAUGCGAAGCGAUUCUAGCAGGGUUUAAUGAUCCGUCAAUGCUAUAGCUUUGUGUUUCAAUUACUUACAGUAA
rnacentral:sRNA from 1 species